AGUGAACGCUGGCGGUAGGCCUAACACAUGCAAGUCGAACGGCAGCACAGUAAGAGCUUGCUCUUACGGGUGGCGAGUGGCGGACGGGUGAGGAAUACAUCGGAAUCUACUUUUUCGUGGGGGAUAACGUAGGGAAACUUACGCUAAUACCGCAUACGACCUACGGGUGAAAGCAGGGGAUCUUCGGACCUUGUGCGAUUGAAUGAGCCGAUGUCGGAUUAGCUAGUUGGCGGGGUAAAGGCCCACCAAGGCGACGAUCCGUAGCUGGUCUGAGAGGAUGAUCAGCCACACUGGAACUGAGACACGGUCCAGACUCCUACGGGAGGCAGCAGUGGGGAAUAUUGGACAAUGGGCGCAAGUCUGAUCCAGCCAUACCGCGUGGGUGAAGAAGGCCUUCGGGUUGUAAAGCCCUUUUGUUGGGAAAGAAAAGCAGCAGGUUAAUACCCCGCUGUUCUGACGGUACCCAAAGAAUAAGCACCGGCUAACUUCGUG
rnacentral:rRNA from 1 species